rnacentral:rRNA from 1 species
UGCUAUCACUUUGGGAUGGACCCGCGCCGUAUUAGUUAGUUGGUGAGAUAAAAGCCCACCAAGACGAUGAUACGUAGCCGACCUGAGAGGGUAAUCGGCCACAUUGGGACUGAGACACGGCCCAGACUCCUACGGGAGGCAGCAGUAGGGAAUCUUCCACAAUGGACGAAAGUCUGAUGGAGCAACGCCGCGUGAGUGAUGAAGGUUUUCGGAUCGUAAAACUCUGUUGUUAAAGAAGAACAAGUGUUAGAGUAACUGUUAACACUUUGACGGUAUUUAACCAGAAAGCCACGGCUAACUACGUGCCAGCAG